rnacentral:rRNA from 1 species
AACGAACGCUGGCGGCAGGCUUAACACAUGCAAGUCGAACGAGCUGGGAACUUCGGUUCCCGAUGCUAGUGGCGCACGGGUGAGUAACACGUGGGAACGUACCCUUUAGUACGGAAUAACUCAGGGAAACUUGAGCUAAUACCGUAUGACUCCUUCGGGAGAAAGAUUUAUCGCUAAAGGAACGGCCCGCGUCUGAUUAGGUAGUUGGUAGGGUAACGGCCUACCAAGCCGACGAUCAGUAGCUGGUCUGAGAGGAUGAUCAGCCACACUGGGACUGAGACACGGCCCAGACUCCUACGGGAGGCAGCAGUGGGGAAUAUUGGACAAUGGGGGCAACCCUGCUCCAGCCAUGCCGCGUGAGUGAAGAAGGCCUUCGGGUUGUAAAGCUCUUUCGACGGGACGAUGAUGACGGUACCCGUAUAAGAUGCCCCGGCAAACUUCGUGCCAGCCGCCGCGGUAA